rnacentral:rRNA from 1 species
CGCUUUGAGAUGGCCUCGCGUCCGAUUAGCUGGUUGGUGAGGUAACGGCCCACCAAGGCGACGAUCGGUAGCCGGACUGAGAGGUUGAACGGCCACAUUGGGACUGAGACACGGCCCAGACUCCUACGGGAGGCAGCAGUGGGGGAUAUUGCACAAUGGGGGGAACCCUGAUGCAGCGACGCCGCGUGAGGGAAGACGGUCUUCGGAUUGUAAACCUCUGUCUUUAGGGACGAAAAAAUGACGGUACCUAAGGAGGAAGCCACGGCUAACUAC